rnacentral:rRNA from 1 species
AAUCUUGGACAAUGGGGGAAACCCUGAUCCAGCCAUCCCGCGUGUGCGAUGAAGGCCUUCGGGUUGUAAAGCACUUUUGUCAGGGAAGAAACGUCUCGGGCCAUUACUCUUAUCUAAUGCCAGUACCUGCAGAAUAAUCACCGGCCAAUCACCUGCCAGUAGCCGCGGUAAUACGUAGGGUGCAAGCGUUAAUCGGAAUUACUGGGCGUAAAGCGUGCGCAGGCGGUUCGGAAAGAAAGGUGUGAAAUCCCAGGGCUUAACCUUGGAACUGCACUUUUAACUACCGGGCUAGAGUACGUCAGAGGGGGGUAGAAUUCCACGUGUAGCAGUGAAAUGCGUAGAGAUGUGGAGGAAUACCGAUGGCGAAGGCAGCCCCCUGGGAUGAUACUGACGCUCAUGCACGAAAGCGUGGGGAGCAAACAGG